GGGCCCGCACAAGCGGUGGAGCAUGUGGUUUAAUUCGAUGAUACGCGAGGAACCUUACCAGGGCUUAAAUGUAGUGGGACAGGUCUAGAGAUAGACCCUUCUUCGGACUCAUUACAAGGUGCUGCAUGGUUGUCGUCAGCUCGUGCCGUGAGGUGUCAGGUUAAGUCCUAUAACGAGCGCAACCCCUAUCGUUAGUUGCCAGCGAGUAAUGUCGGGAACUCUAACGAAACUGCCAGUGCAAACUGUGAGGAAGGUGGGGAUGACGUCAAAUCAUCACGGCCCUUACGUCCUGGCUACACACGUGCUACAAUGGCCGGUACAGAGAGCUGCGAUCCUGCGAAGGCUAGCC
rnacentral:rRNA from 1 species